UGUCCCUGUGUGGAGACAUUGUACAGGUUGAUAAACGGGACUUGGCCAUAUUGAAUGGGUAGAAGAAAUUCAGCUAAAAACCGAACUUUGGAAAGCACGUGGUUGGAACAAGAUGGCGAUGGCGAGCUGCCCACGGACCUUCUGAAAGAUACGCAGGAGAAAUACUUCUCUUGCUGAACGCUGCAUGGUUUGCAUCUGAACUGGUAGGAUUUACCCAACUUUCUGCAAAGCUACUGCAACGGACUCAGGAACAUUGAACUGCUAAUUAAAAGAGCAACGAGUAGAAAAAAAAAGGACUUUUAUUCUGCAAUAUCCAGAAUUGUUCAGCCUUUUGCUGAAUCAAUUUGAGUUGUAAUUUUGUAUUUUAUUUUCAGACCAUAAACUAAUAUUGUAAAAGGGUAUUUUACAAUGUAAAUGUUUUUGGUUGGGAACAACAGAACAAAGUUCUCUUUAAACUGUAAAAUAACUUGAAAUAACUUGAACUAAAAUAAUUGAAACUAAAUGUGAACUGAACUAAAGAGUUAACUCGAAACCGUGAUAGAACUGAUUUGAAUUAAACUAAAAGGUUGCAAGGUCUGUGGUGCUUGUUGCCAGCUGACGGGUACCGGCGGGCCAAGCGUGCUGCAGCCCGGGUGGUUCCGGAGGCAAAAACUCAGAGCUGGGAGGAGUUCGGGGAGGCCAUGGAGAAGGACUAUCGGAUGCCUCAAAGAGAUUCUGACAAACCGCCCGGCGCCUCGGAAGAGGAAGUAGUUCUUCACCAACACUGUUUACAGUGCGGGGGGAGAGCUGCUGACCUCGACUGGGGACUUUGUCCGAUGGUGGAAGGAAAACUCUGAGGAUCUCCUCAAUCGCACCGUCACGUCUUCCGAGGAGGAAUCGAGACUGGAGACUCAGAGGUGGACUCAUCCAUAACCCUGAAGUCACUGAGGUGGUUAAAGUUCCUCUGUGGCUCUGGGUUGGAUGAGAUCCUUCCUGAGUACCUUAAGUCUCUGGAUGUUGUGGGUCUUGGCUGACAUGUCUCUUCAACAUCGCGUGGCGGUCGGGGACAGUGCCUCUGGACUGGCAAACCGGGGUGGUGGUCCCUCUGUAUAAGAAGGGGGACCGGAGGGUGUGUUCCAACUAUAGGGGGAUCACACUUCUCAGCCUUCCCGGUCUCUGUCAGGGACUGGAGAGGAGAAUCCGGCCGAUAGUUGAACCUCGGGUCCAGGAGGAGCAGUGUGGUUUUCGUCCUGGCCGUGGAACACUGGACCAGCUCUACACUCUCCAUCGGGCGCUCCAGGUUCAUGGGAGUUUGGACAGUCCACACGGAGACAGAGGAGGACGUCCUCUCCUGUCCACAGCUGUUCUUACCUUUCACACUCAGCUGGACCCAGGUCUUUCCUCCAGAGAACAAAAACCUGAGAACAAAACCUGAUAAGCGAAAUCUGGUAUAACUAAAAUAUAUCCGGAAAAAGGAAAUAAGGGUUUUGGAACUUAACUACUUAAACAAAGAAGGUUAAGAUAAUUGGAGUUUAUGUUAACGUUGUCUAUGUCCAUGUCAUGCUAUUUUCAUAUUUUGUGUCCAAAUCUCAAUAAUAAGCCGGCAAAUCAUUUAAACUUAUUCUCUUGUCUGUGGUCUUUUCAUUGUCAAGUCAACUUUUGCUCCAGUAGACGAACCUAACCAAUUGAUACUGGUCCAUUACAUAGUAGUUCCUACCUCUACUUGUUAUUACCCUGUAAUUACCACUCGUUGGGCGUUACACUUACUCACUCGGAGACAGUCCCACUGAAUUCUUCAAAUCUAGAAGCUUUGUAAAUGUACAUUUUGUUUGUAAUGUGAAACUUUUAGAAUGUGACAUUUAUUGUAUAAUUUGAAUAUGUCUGUACAUUACGAGCUUCAGCCGUUCCAUGAAUAUUAUUUAUCUUAAAGUCAGAUUAUUGAUUUUCAAAUAUUUGUUUGAACAUUUGAAAAUGCUUGACCAAAUAGUCAUGUCAGCAUAAAUUUAAUUUCAUACAAUUUAUGUUUUGUCAUUCUUAUUGAGUCUGUUGUAGUUCAGUAAUUUGAUUCACUAAUGGUUUUGUUUCUGGCAUUAAUUUUGUUGUUUUUCUUUAGGAUGGUGAUGAAUCCUUUGGCCAAAUGGACAUUGGGAUCUUGUUAGUAAAUCUGAAGGUGUCUCUCCUCCAACACCAGAUCUUCAGCUGCCUGAAAAUCAUCAUUGAGGGUGAAAUUGUUAUGGACAAGCUGACGACCCUUAUAAGCCCUUGUUUGAAUUGUGAAAUGUAAAACACAAAAGCAAAUGCUGUUACAGGGAACAAACAGAAGACUGCACUUUAUUCAGGUUUAAGCAUGUUACUGUUGCACUAUUUUUGCAAUAAAUUUAUGAGAAAAAAAAUUGU